AAGGGCAAUGAAAUGGGCAACCGUGGCCGAUGUUUUUGCGGUACUUAGUCCAUGCAGGGACCGCCCUCAGGGGCUUUAUUCCUUGCAAUGGCCUAUGAAUGAGGUAUUAUUAUCAUCAGCUCCAUUUGACGGUGAGGAGACUGGGGCAGGGUGAGCUUACGCGACUCGCUCCGUGCCCUCCUGCAGGCAGUGGCGGAGCCCGCCUUCGGCCAGAGGCUGUGGCGUCUGCAUCCGGGAGCUCAGCCACGUGCACCUGGAAGGGGGUCUUAAUCCUGAGUGCGUCAGACUCACGUGCCAGUCCUGCAAAUACCUGCUGAGUCAGACUCCCCAGCCUAAGCGUUUGCAAUCAACCUCUGUGCCUCGGCACGGUCGGUGCUGGAACACAGGCAUUCCCCACUCUGGCUUCCUUCUCCUGACUCACUGGCUCUUCACCAAGUUCUAGGACUGGACUAUUAGGGUUGCCUCUGACCCAUUCCUGACGCAUCUAUGUCACCAGCCCGCAUGUCAGGAGGAACAGGUUCUAGUUGCCUCAGGGGGAAACAGCCGUCCUGGGAUCAUCCUUCUCCACCUGUCUGAAGCUAUACCCGGUCAUGUGACCAGUGCGAGAGCUACUGUGAGCCACGGUGGAUGUGUCACCCAACGUCUCGGUCUUUUAAGUAAACUACACCUGACAACACCGUGUUAUCCCGAGCUCCUUCAGUUUCCUGGAAACUCCCAGGAUGUUUCAGAAGGCAGAGUUCAGCUGUAACUUGGAUGGUGUUUACUUUAUCUCUCUAACACUAGGAGAGCGAUCGCUCUGCCCGUCACCGUCCCUGCUGUGUCCUGAGUGCUAGAAGCCAGCCAGGAACCACACCUAGAACACUCCAAAGGUACUAUUUUAACGCUGUUUCACAAGUCAAGAAACCAAGAUCAGCUACAGAGCUUGAGGGACUCAGAGCAAAAUGAAGACGACAAAUGGAAAUUAUGAGGAAUAUCAAGAUGAUGACAGCAGAGCAUUGCACCAGGCGCAAUCACAUAGGACCCAUGAAACGGGCCCUGGAGGAAACCAAGGGCCAGAGAAGUUAAGUUACUUUCCCAAGGUCACACAGCAAGUUUUGGAGCCUCUAAAAAUCCUUUAUUUAUUGUAAACUCCCUGCAGGCAGGGGCUUUGAGGUCACUGGUGGCAUGUUCUGGUCCCGGGUCCUCAGGUCUCCAUGAGUUUGAUGGCCAAGUCCCCUCUCUGAUUGUUUCUGAACGCAAGAAAACGAGAACCAAAUUAUAAAUGGAUAAGCUAAACACGAGUUUUAUUUACAGCUAUGGCAUUCAGUGCUGCAAAAGAAUUUAAGGAGCUAACCUAUUUUUUGUUUCUAUGAAAGAGACUUCAUUUUUUCUGUGAGAUUCUUUGCUGGUGAUGGGAAGAAAGGAGAGAUAAAAUCUCAGGGGCACAUCAAUGCAUUAAUCAUGGUCCUAAUCUCAUGACCUGUUAUUAUUAUUAUUAUGCCCUUUUAGUUUAACUAUUCUUUGUUUAUUUUCAGUGCAGUAACGAUUACCUCUGAACUCACCCAAGAACUAGCUUAUUGCUGAUAAUUCAUAUCUCCUCUGGGCUCCUUACCCGUAUCAUUUUCCCAUCUCAGAUGUGAUCACUGUCCCGAAUGUCACAUGUCCUGGUUGCUAGUUUUCAGAUGUGUUACAUUUGCAUGCCUGGCUAAAUAAUGUAUUGUUUGCUUAAAAGCAAAUUCAUAGAAAGGGUAUUUUGAAAUUCAUAGAAAGGGUAUUUUAUGCCGUCUUCUGAGACUUGCUUUUUUGACUCAAGAAUAGCUGAAAAGAGUCCAUUGCCGUGUCGUUACAUAGACUGGUAUUUUAUUUAUUUUCACUAGUAUAGAACAUUCCAUUAUCUGGACAGACUAUAAUGUAGUUAUCCAUUGCCCUCUCAUGGGCAUUCAGGUUGUUUCAGAUUUUUGCUAUUAAAAAGAGAGCUUCCGGGGCGCCUGGGUGGCUCAGUCGGUUGAGCGUCUGACUUUGGCUCAGGUCAUGAUCUCACAGCUUGUGAGUUCAGGUCCUGUGUCGGGCUUUGUGCUGACAGCUUGGAGCAUUCUGUCUCUGUCUCUCUCAAAAAUAAAUAAACAUUAAAAAAAAAAAGAGAGAGAGAGAGCUUCCAUGAAAUUCUCAGGUAAGUACAUGAGUCAAAUUUUGCCUUGGGUAUAUACCCAGGAGUGCAAUUGCUGAUUCAUAGGGUAUAGUAAUGUAUAGUAAUGCUAAAAUUUGCAAGAGAAUGCCAAAUCACUUCCCAAAAUUACUGCUCCAAAGUAUACCCCCUGGUGAUCAUAGGGGAUCCCACUGAUCUCCAUCUCCCACAUAUGGUAUUGUCAACUUUUAUAAUUUUUCCAGUUGAAUGAGUGUUGAAUGAAUAAAUGAUCGACUAAUGGGGAUACUAUAGAUUGUUCAGAAAAAAUAAGUUCCUAUGGUCAAUCAAUAACCUUUAACUUUAGGUCAAUCAAUAAACUAAGCAAAUUAAGUGUGCUUUAAAAUGUUGCCAAGAAGACAAAAUGAAAAAUUUCAAGUAAACUGUUGCAAAAAUCUUACAAAAACUACAAUCAUUCCAUCUGUUAGGAAAUGCCAUAAAAUAUAAAUAGUUAAAAAAACAAAAGAUAGGGGCGCCUGGGUGGCCCAGUCAGUUAAGCCUCUGACUUCGGCUCAGGUCAUGGUCUCUCAGUUAGUGGGUUCCAGCCCUGCAUUGGGGCUCUGUGCUGACAGCUCAGAGCCUGGGGCCUGCUUCGGAUUCUGUGUCUCCCACUUGCUCGCUGCCCCUGGCCUGCUUGCGCUCUGUCUCUG